rfam:Calypte anna contig443, whole genome shotgun sequence.
ACCUGCAUUCGAAAGUGAUUGCGGCCUCACCCGUGGCCUGGUCAUCGAUAGUGCAGGGAGAGAAACGGCGGCAGCUUUCCCGUGUCUGGGGGGGCCGCGUCCCGUUCUCCCCCAGACCCUGGUGCUGUCGGACA